AAUGAACGCUGGCGGCAUGCCUAACACAUGCAAGUCGAACGAGAUGCUGACUUCGGUUGGUAUCUAGUGGCGCACGGUUGCGUAACGCGUGGGAAUCUGCCCUUGGGUUCGGAAUAACAGUGAGAAAUUACUGCUAAUACCGGAUAAUGACGUAAGUCCAAAGAUUUAUCGCCCAGGAUGAGCCCGCGUAAGAUUAGCUAGUUGGUGGGAAGG
rnacentral:rRNA from 1 species